rnacentral:rRNA from 2 species
AUACAUGCAAGUCGAGCGGAGUCAAUAGAAAGCUUGCUUUCUUGAGACUUAGCGGCGGACGGGUGAGUAACACGUAGGCAACCUGCCCUUUAGCCUGGGAUAACUACCGGAAACGGUAGCUAAUACCGGAUACUUUCUUUUUCUGCAUGGGAAGAGAACGAAAGACGGAGCAAUCUGUCACUGAAGGAUGGGCCUGCGGCGCAUUAGCUAGUUGGUGGGGUAACGGCUCACCAAGGCGACGAUGCGUAGCCGACCUGAGAGGGUGAUCGGCCACACUGGGACUGAGACACGGCCCAGACUCCUACGGGAGGCAGCAGUAGGGAAUCUUCCGCAAUGGGCGAAAGCCUGACGGAGCAACGCCGCGUGAGUGAUGAAGGUUUUCGGAUCGUAAAGCUCUGUUGCCAGGGAAGAACGUCUUGGAGAGUAACUGCUCUGAGAGUGACGGUACCUGAGAAGAAAGCCCCGGCUAACUACGUGCCAGCAGCCGCGGUAAUACGUAGGGGGCAAGCGUUGUCCGGAAUUAUUGGGCGUAAAGCGCGCGCAGGCGGCCGUUUAAGUCCGGUGUUUAAUCCCGAAGCUCAACUUCGGGUCGCACUGGAAACUGGAGGGCUUGAGUGCAGAAGAGGAGAGUGGAAUUCCACGUGUAGCGGUGAAAUGCGUAGAGAUGUGGAGGAACACCAGUGGCGAAGGCGACUCUCUGGGCUGUAACUGACGCUGAGGCGCGAAAGCGUGGGGAGCAAACAGGAUUAG